GCGGCUUUAGCUCACUUGGGAGAGCGCCAGACUGAAGCCCAACUUCUGUUUCUUCAUUCACAUCUAUCUACUAGGGAGAAUUGAUUAUCUGGAGGCACUGUGUUCGAUCCACAGAAGCCGCA